rnacentral:lncRNA from 1 species
UAUAAUGACACAAUGCGAAGGUUUUCCAAUUUUUUGAUUUUUUUUGAAUUUUUUAUGCCCGUUUCAAAAUGCGGUCAAAACGGCGGGAAUGACCGUUCCUAGGUAGUGGUUGAAUCUUGGAAUUUUUUUGGUGUUUCUAUGAUUAAAUAGAUACUUAUGUACCUAGAAAUGAUUUUUGGAAAAAAUAAAGAGCAAACUAUGAGGCAGCUACAGUUCAAAUUUGACCCGUUUCCAACUGAAUCGAUGGCAAUUUGUGUUUUUCACGAGAGGUGGAUCAAAACUUUUUUCACCCAACCAUUUGGUCUAUUGUGCAUUAUUUAUGUCCUAGUAUUUUAUAAAAUUGAUUUGGUCCAUUUGUGCAACAAUUAUUUGGUAGGUCCUUCACAAAAAAACCUCCUUUCGGGCACUCGAAAAAUGGAAAAUGAAUUUUCCGUGCAAAGAAAAUGAAAACUUCUUUAGGCAACAUUGUUUGGAAUUCAAAUAUUCACCCUUGUGCACAAUAUAAGAUCAUUUGAACAAACUAUGCCAUGAAUGUGGCCAUAAGAUUGAUCAUUUGGCUUGAAAGCCAUGAAUCUUCAUACUUGAUAGCUCAUUUCUGAGAACACUUUUCUAAAAUAAUUUCCGUAUUACAAGUUUAUUAUUUUUCCUGGAAACUUGGUCACAUAUAAUGACACAAUGCGAAGGUUUUCCAAUUUUUUAUUUUUUUUGAAUUUUUUAUGCCCGUUUCAAAAUGCGGUCAAAACGACGGGAAUGACCGUUCCUAGGUAGUGGUUGAAUCUUGGAAUUUUUUGGUGUUUCUAUGAUUAAAUAGAUACUUAUGUACCUAGAAAUGAUUUUUGGAAAAAAUAAAGAGCAAACUAUGAGGCAGCUACAGUUCAAAUUUGACCCGUUUCU